rnacentral:rRNA from 1 species
AUUGAACGCUGGCGGCAUGCUUUACACAUGCAAGUCGAACGGCAGCGCGGGCUUCGGCCUGGCGGCGAGUGGCGAACGGGUGAGUAAUGCAUCGGAACGUGCCCAGUAGUGGGGGAUAGCCCGGCGAAAGCCGGAUUAAUACCGCAUACGACCUGAGGGUGAAAGCGGGGGACCGAAAGGCCUCGCGCUAUUGGAGCGGCCGAUGUCGGAUUAGCUAGUUGGUGGGGUAAAGGCUUACCAAGGCGACGAUCCGUAGCCGGUCUGAGAGGACGACCAGCCACACUGGAACUGAGACACGGCCAAGACUCCUACGGGAGGCAGCAGUGGGGAAUUUUGGACAAUGGGGGCAACCCUGAUCCAGCCAUGCCGCGUGCGGGAAGAAGGCCUUCGGGUUGUAAACCGCUUUUGUUCGGGAAGAAAUCCUCUGGGCUAAUACCCCGGGGGGAUGACGGUACCGGAAGAAUAAGCACCGGCUAACUACGUG